CUUGUCUGUAAGUGCCACUUC
rnacentral:siRNA from 1 species